rnacentral:rRNA from 1 species
GAGCUCAAAUUUGUAAUCUGGCACUUUCAGUGUCCGAGUUGUAAUCUCGAGAAGUAUUUUCCGCGCCGGACCGCAUACAAGUCUGUUGGAAUACAGCGUCAUAGUGGUGAGAACCCCGUAACUGAUGCGGAUGCCCGGUGCUUUGUGAUAUACUUUCGAAGAGUCGAGUUGUUUGGGAAUGCAGCUCAAAUUGGGUGGUAAAUUCCAUCUAAAGCUAAAUAUUGGAGCAAGACCGAUAGCGAACAAGUACCGUGAGGGAAAGAUGAAAAGCACUUUGGAAAGAGAGUUAACAGUACGUGAAAUUGUUGGAAGGGAAACGCUUGAAGUCAGACUUGCUAUUCGGAGUUCAGCCGCAAGGUGUAUUCUUCGAUUUGCAGGCCAGCAUCAGUUUUUGGGGGUGGAAAAUCGUGGUUUGAAGGUAGCAGCUUCGGCUGUGUUAUAGCUUUCCACUGGAUUCAUCUUCGGGGACUGAGGAACGCAGUACGCUUUUUGCAAGGCUUUCGAGCUUUUCGUACUUAGGAUGCUGGUGGAAUGGCUUUAAACGACCCGUCUU